rnacentral:rRNA from 1 species
GAUGAACGCUGGCGGCGUGCCUAAUACAUGCAAGUAGAACGCUGAAGGAAGGAGCUUGCUCUUUCCGGAUGAGUUGCGAACGGGUGAGUAACGCGUAGGUAACCUGCCUGGUAGCGGGGGAUAACUAUUGGAAACGAUAGCUAAUACCGCAUAACAGUAGAUGUUGCAUGAUAUCUACUUAAAAGGUGCAAUUGCACCACUACCAGAUGGACCUGCGUUGUAUUAGCUAGUUGGUGAGGUAACGGCUCACCAAGGCGACGAUACAUAGCCGACCUGAGAGGGUGAUCGGCCACACUGGGACUGAGACACGGCCCAGACUCCUACGGGUGGCAGCAGUAGGGAAUCUUCGGCAAUGGACGGAAGUCUGACCGAGCAACGCCGCGUGAGUGAAGAAGGUUUUCGGAUCGUAAAGCUCUGUUGUAAGAGAAGAACGAGUGUGAGAGUGGAAAGUUCACACUGUGACGGUAUCUUACCAGAAAGGGACGGCUAACUACGUG